ensembl:rRNA 5S_rRNA 5S ribosomal RNA
GUCUACAGCCACACCACCUUGAACAUGCCUAUCUUGUCUAGUCUUGGAAGCUAAGCAGAGUUGGACAUGGUUAGUACUUCGAUGGGAGACCGCCCUGGAAUACCUGGUGGUAUUAAAAA